rnacentral:rRNA from 1 species
CCUACGGGAGGCAGCAGUGGGGAAUAUUGCACAAUGGGGGGAACCCUGAUGCAGCGACGCCGCGUGAGUGAAGAAGUAUUUCGGUAUGUAAAGCUCUAUCAGCAGGGAAGAAAAUGACGGUACCUGAUGAAGAAGCCCCGGCUAACUACGUGCCAGCAGCCGCGGUAAUACGUAGGGGGCAAGCGUUAUCCGGAUUUUCUGGGUGUAAAGGGAGCGUAGACGGCAGCACAAGUCUGGAGGGAAAUGCCGGGGGUUAACCCCGGAACUGCUUUGGAAACUGUGCAGCUAGAGUGCAGGAGAGGGAAGUGGAAUUCCGAGUGUAGCGGGGAAAUGCGUAGAUAUUAGGAGGAACACCAGUGGCGAAGGCGGCUUACUGGACUGUAACUGACGUUGAGGCUCGAAAGCGUGGGGAGCAAACAGGAUUAGAUACCCGAGUAGUC